CUUCGGCUCCCGCUAUUGGAUGAGCCUAUGUCGGAUUAGCUAGUUGGUGAGGUAAUGGCUCACCAAGGCAACGAUCCGUAGCUGGUCUGAGAGGAUGAUCAGCCACAUCGGGACUGAGACACGGCCCGAACUCCUACGGGAGGCAGCAGUGGGGAAUAUUGGACAAUGGGGGCAACCCUGAUCCAGCCAUGCCGCGUGUGUGAAGAAGGCCCUCGGGUUGUAAAGCACUUUCAGCGAGGAAGAACGCCUAUCGGUUAAUACCCGGUAGGAAAGACAUCACUCGCAGAAGAAGCACCGGCUAACUCCGUGCCAGCAGCCGCGGUAAUACGGAGGGUGCAAGCGUUAAUCGGAAUUACUGGGCGUAAAGCGCGCGUAGGUGGCUUGAUAAGCCGGUUGUGAAAGCCCCGGGCUCAACCUGGGAACGGCAUCCGGAACUGUCAGGCUAGAGUGCAGGAGAGGAAGGUAGAAUUCCCGGUGUAGCGGUGAAAUGCGUAGAGANUCGGGAGGAAUACCAGUGGCGAAGGCGGCCUUCUGGACUGACACUGACACUGAGGUGCGAAAGCGUGGGUAGCAAACAGGAUUAGAUACCCUGGUAGUCCACGCCGUAAACGAUGUCGACCAGCCGUUGGGUGCCUAGAGCACUUUGUGGCGAAGUUAACGCGAUAAGUCGACCGNCCUGGGGAGUANCGGCCGCAANGGUUAAAACUCAAAUGAAUUGACGGGGGCCCGCACAAGCGGUGGAGCAUGUGGUUUAAUUCGAUGCAACGCGAAGAACCUCACCUACCCUUGACAUCUACAGAAGCCGGAAGAGAUUCUGGUGUGCCUUCGGGAACUGUAAGACAGGUGCUGCAUGGCUGUCGUCAGCUCGUGUUGUGAAAUGUUGGGUUAAGUCCCGUAACGAGCGCAACCCUUGUCCUUAUUUGCCAGCGAGUAAUGUCGGGAACUCUAAGGAGACUGCCGGUGACAAACCGGAGGAAGGUGGGGACGACGUCAAGUCAUCAUGGCCCUUACGGGUAGGGCUACACACGUGCUACAAUGGCCGGUACAAAGGGCUGCGAGCUCGCGAGAGUCAGCGAAU
rnacentral:rRNA from 1 species